rnacentral:lncRNA from 1 species
GAAAGUGCAUUUAACCAGGAAGUUCAUGCCUCCUUACUUACAGUGACGCGAAAAUAUCCAGAAUGUAAAUAUCCAAAAUGUCCAGAGCAAAAAUAUCCAAAACGUCGGGAGCUCGUUUCGAACAUGGAUCUUCAGCUUAUAAAGCAAUACAAAACUAAAAAAUGAAUCAAAGUACAUUGAAAUUGAAUCCAUCCCCACUGAAGAACUUCUAAAUGAUGAAAUGAGCAGUGUUAAACAUUUUUCCGCGAAAACAACAAUCGCAAACUGUUUCGGUAUCACACUGAAGAUAAAUAAAAACAAACACGUGGAUUUUGGAAAACACCAGAAAUAAGCAACCCCCUGAAACUUUAACGACGUCAUUUGUAGUUAUCGCUUUGUGACAUAUUUUGCGAUUUCUUUUGGAAAGAUCGAUAAGUCGGAAAUCAGUUAGUUAUAAUCGAGAAGAAAUGCGUAUGGCGUGUUAUACAUAUGGAAUAUUUAUCAUCUUUAUUGUAGCUGUACCGAUUUUAACUUCAUCUUUUAGAAACUCUGAAUACUUUGAAAAAAAAAACUACGUUAAUAGUGAUUUAAAGAAACAAAAA